AGAGUUUGAUCCUGGCUCAGAACGAACGCUGGCGGCGUGCCUAACACAUGCAAGUCGAACGGGAUUGAGGGGCUUGCUCCUCAAUUUAGUGGCGCACGGGUGAGUAACGCGUAGAUAAUCUGCCUGACGAUCUGGGAUAACACUUCGAAAGGGGUGCUAAUACCGGAUAAGCCCACGGAGACUUUGGUCUUUGGCGGGAA
rnacentral:rRNA from 1 species